UGGGGGGAAGAUGGGAAGAAGAGAAGAGAAAAAAAAUUAAGUCCAGGAAAAGAACUGGAAGAGGGGAAAAGUUCAAGGCCCUGGUGUUCUGUACUGCAAGCACACCAGCUGCAGGAUCUCGCCUGCUGCCCAUUUCUCUAUGGAAGAAUGUUGGCAUAAGCUCUCUGCUCUUGCUCUGGCCUUCUGAAAAUUCUGCUUUACAGCUGAACACGACUGCAACCAAAACCCAGCCUUACAGCUGAAGCCUUCUCCAGGCAUAACUGUCGGAAUCUCUAGCAGUGAGCGUGGAGCCAGGGAAGAGGGAUGUAGACCCCACCUGGACGGUGUUAGAGAGACGGUACGGAUUUCCCAAGCUCCCUCAAACUCCGACACAAGCGGCAGAGGGAGCAGCAUCAGGAGCCAGGGGGGUUGGACUAUGGGACAACCAGAACUGGGCAGAAGAGAAAAAUCAUGUUUUCACUUGCUGGCCAGCAAGCAAGCAAAGGGGUUGUGAUAUCCUGUAAAGGGGUGUAGUAGUGGACAUGCUAACUCAGUGAGUUGUGAGGCUCCAGAUAUUUUCCCUGGGGUGGGUUUGUGCAGUGACACACAGCAAAUGAAUUAGUACACAACAAUGGUGAAUGGUUAUUUAAGCAUCUUUGCCCAUUCUUGACAGCAAAUAUCUCUGCAGUCAUCAUCUGCAUAUGCACACGGAUAACAUGUGCACACACAUAUUGCAACACGUGCAUGCUCUACUAAGAAUUGGCCUCUUGAAAUACGGCUAUAUAAUACAUGUGAGCCCUGGCUGCUGCCCCACACAUUUCAGUUGCCGGCUAGUUAUUUCCUUGUAAGAUAUAGUACAUCUUUCAACUUUGCCAGAUCCAUAAUGGCAGAAUUUCAAGAGGUUUGGGAUUCCUGAUCCUUUUGGAUGUGCUUCCAAAAGCUUGGCUACUUACUCUACAAUCAAAAACUCACUGAAGACUGUAGACUCUCAUCUCGUAUACUGUAUAAUGCAAAAACAGGUAUAUGGGUCAAUAAUUGACUUAGACAUUGUAGACUAAAUAUAUGCCACAC